GGAGGAAAAGAAACCAACAGGGAUUGCCUCAGUAACGGCGAGUGAAGCGGCAUCAGCUCAAAUUUGAAAUCUGGUCUCACGAUCCGAGUUGUAAUUUGUAGAGAAUGCUUCGGGCGAGGUCCGGUCUAAGUUCCUUGGAACAGGACGUCAUAGAGGGUGAGAAUCCCGUAUGCGACCGGGUGCCUCCGCCCAUGUGAAGCUUCUUCGACGAGUCGAGUUGUUUGGGAAUGCAGCUCAAAAUGGGUGGUAAAUUUCAUCUAAAGCUAAAUACUGGCCAGAGACCGAUAGCGCACAAGUAGAGUGAUCGAAAGAUGAAAAGCACUUUGGAAAGAGAGUUAAACAGUACGUGAAAUUGUUGAAAGGGAAGCGCUUGCAACCAGACUUGCGCGUGGCCGAUCAUCCGGUGUUCUCACCGGUGCACUCGGUUGCGCUCAGGCCAGCAUCGGUUUCGGUGGUUGGAUAAAGGCCCGGGGAAUGUAGCUCCUCUCGGGGAGUGUUAUAGCCCUGGGUGCAAUGCAGCCUACCGGGACCGAGGACCGCGCUUCGGCUAGGAUGCUGGCGUAAUGGUUGUAAGCGAC
rnacentral:rRNA from 1 species